rnacentral:rRNA from 1 species
UACGGGAGGCAGCAGUGGGGAAUAUUGCACAAUGGGCGCAAGCCUGAUGCAGCCAUGCCGCGUGUAUGAAGAAGGCCUUCGGGUUGUAAAGUACUUUCAGUCGUGAGGAAGGUGUUAAGGUUAAUAACCUUAGCAAUUGACGUUAGCGACAGAAGAAGCACCGGCUAACUCCGUGCCAGCAGCCGCGGUAAUACGGAGGGUGCGAGCGUUAAUCGGAAUUACUGGGCGUAAAGGGCACGCAGGCGGUUAAUUAAGUUGGAUGUGAAAUCCCCGGGCUUAACCUGGGAAUGGCAUUCAAGCUGGUUAGCUAGAGUCUUGUAGAGGGGGUAGAAUUCCAUGUGUAGCGGUGAAAUGCGUAGAGAUGUGGAGGAAUACCGGUGGCGAAGGCGGCCCCUGGGACAAAGACUGACGCUCAUGUGCGAAAGCGUGGGGAGCAAACGAGGGAUUAGAUA